rnacentral:rRNA from 1 species
UACAGAGGGUGCAAGCGUUGUUCGGAAUCAUUGGGCGUAAAGGGCGCGUAGGCGGUCUCACCAGCGAAUGUGAAAGCCCAGGGCUCAACCUUGGAAGUGCAUUCGAUACUAGGAGAACUUGAGUCUCGGAGAGGGUGGUGGAAUUCCCAGUGUAGAGGUGAAAUUCGUAGAUAUUGGGAGGAACACCGGUGGCGAAGGCGACCACCUGGACGAAGACUGACGCUGAGGCGCGAAAGCGUGGGGAGCAAACAGG